rnacentral:rRNA from 1 species
CUCUCCCGGGGAGGGUUUUGUAAAUGGGAAAAUUUGUGUAAAAAGGAAAGGGAACACUUUGUUCGGUAAAGCGUAAAAUGUUGAAAACCACCGGCGAAGAGAUUUUCUUGUUUGUCUUGACUCUGAUGACAAAAGAUGGAAGCGAACAAGAUUAUAUACUCUCCUAGUCCCCCCCCCACAAAAAGAGUGCUAAGUGUUAGGAGGUUUCCUUCCUUCCUGCUGGGGCACACACAAUACACUCUCCCUCUGGGGAGGAGGGUCGCGAGACUGAACUCAAAAGAAUUGACUGGCCCCGCCAACCCGGUAGCGUAUGUAUUUUAUUUUUUAAUUACGCAAAAAAACCUUACCAUGUCUUGACUUCUUCUGACCUCCCAAAAAAAAAAGACUUCCCCUCUCCCCUCAGAGUGACAGGGGGUGCAUGGUUGUCGUCUCGUCGUGUCGCUGAGAUGUUGAGUUAAGUCCCGCAACGAGCGCCCCCCUUGAUCUUAGAUCGCCAGCAUUCAGUUGUGCACUCUGAGGUGACUGCCGAUGACUAACUGGGAAGAAGGUGGGAGAUGACGUCACAUCAUCAUGCCCCCUUAUGACCUGGGCUACACACCUGCUACAAUGGGCAGAACAAAG